rnacentral:rRNA from 1 species
GCAUAUCAAUAAGCGGAGGAAAAGAAACCAACCGGGAUUGCCUUAGUAACGGCGAGUGAAGCGGCAAAAGCUCAAAUUUGAAAUCUGGCGUCUUCGACGUCCGAGUUGUAAUUUGAAGAAGGCAACUUUGUAGCUGGUCCUUGUCUAUGUUCCUUGGAACAGGACGUCAUAGAGGGUGAGAAUCCCGUGUGGCGAGGAUCCCAGUUAUUUGUAAAGUGCUUUCGACGAGUCGAGUUGUUUGGGAAUGCAGCUCUAAGUGGGUGGUAAAUUCCAUCUAAAGCUAAAUAUUGGCGAGAGACCGAUAGCGAACAAGUACAGUGAUGGAAAGAUGAAAAGAACUUUGAAAAGAGAGUGAAAAAGUACGUGAAAUUGUUGAAAGGGAAGGGCAUUUGAUCAGACAUGGCGUUUGCUUCGGCUUUCGCUGGGCCAGCAUCAGUUUUAGCGGUUGGAUAAAUCCUCGGGAAUGUGGCUCUGCUUCGGUAGAGUGUUAUAGCCCGUGGGAAUACAGCCAGCUGGGACUGAGGAUUGCGACUUUUGUCAAGGAUGCUGGCGUAAUGGUUAAAUGCCGCCCGUCUUGAAACACGGACCAAGGAGUCUAACGUCUAUGCGAGUGUUUGGGUGUAAAACCCGUACGCGUAAUGAAAGUGAACGUAGGUGAGGGCCCGCAAGGGUGCAUCAUCGACCGAUCCUGAUGUCUUCGGAUGGAUUUGAGUAAGAGCAUAGCUGUUGGGACCCGAAAGAUGGUGAACUAUGCCUGAAUAGGGUGAAGCCAGAGGAAACUCUGGUGGAGGCUCGUAGCGGUUCUGACGUGCAAAUCGAUCGUCGAAUUUGGGUAUAGGGGCGAAAGACUAAUCGAACCAUCUAGUAGCUGGNUCCUGCCGA